CAGGAUGAACGCUAGCGGCAGGCUUAAUACAUGCAAGUCGUGGGGCAGCAUGAGUAGCAAUACUUGAUGGCGACCGGCAACGGGUGAGGAACACGUACACUAACCUUCCUUCAAGCGGGGAAUAGCCCAGAGAAAUUUGGAUUAAUACCCAUAAUAUAUUUGACAAGGCAUCUUAUUAAUAUUAAAGCUUCGGCACUUGAUGAUGGGUGUGCGGCUGAUUAGAUAGUUGGCGGGUAACGGCCCACCAAGUCUACGAUCAGUAGCUGAUGUGAGAGCAUGAUCAGCCACACGGGCACUGAGACACGGGCCCGACUCCUACGGGAGGCAGCAGUAAGGAAUAUUGGACAAUGGACGAAAGUCUGAUCCAGCCAUGCCGCGUGAAGGAUUAAGGUCCUCUGGAUUGUAAACUUCUUUUAUAUGGGACGAAAAAGGGCAUUCUUGUUCACUUGACGGUACCAUAUGAAUAAGCACCGGCUAACUCCGUG
rnacentral:rRNA from 1 species